rnacentral:rRNA from 1 species
GACGGGCGGUGCGUACGGGCAUGCUAGAGUGUGGUAGGGGAGACUGGAACUCCUGGUGUAGCGGUGAUAUGCGCAGAUAUCAGGAAGAACACCGAUGGCGAAGGCAGGUCUCUGGGCCAUUACUGACACUGAGAAGCGAAAGCAUGGGGAGCGAACAGGAUUAGAUACCCUGGUAGUCCAUGCCGUAUACCUUAGGCACUAAGUGUGGGGAACAUUCCAGGUUGUCCGCGCCGUACCUAACGCAUCCAGUGCCCCGCCUGGGGAGUACGGCCGCACCGCUAAAACUCAAAGGAAUCGAUGGGGGCCCGCCCAAGCGGCGGAGCAUCCGGAUGAAUUCCGAUGCAAAGCGAAGAACCGUACCAGGGCUUGACAUGCACCGCCAGGCUCCAGAGAUGGGGUUUUCUUCGGAGUGGUGCACAGGAGGUGCAUGGUGGUCGUCAGCUCGUGUCGUGAGAUGUUGGGUUAAGUCCCGCAAGGAGCGCAACCCUCGUUCCAGGUUGCCAGCGCGGUAUGGCGGGGACUCAUGGGAGACUGCCGGGGUCAACUCGGAGGAAGGUGGGGACGACGUCAAAUCAUCAUGCCCCUUAUGUCUUGGGCUUCACGCAUGCUACAAUGGCCGGUACAAUGGGUUGCGAAACUGUGAGGUGGAGCGAAUCCCACAAAGCCGGUCUCAGUUCGGAUUGGGGUGUGCAACUCGACCCCAUGGAGUCGGAGUCGCUAGUAAUCGCAGAUCAGCAACGCUGCGGUGAAUACGUUCCGGGGCCUUGACACACCGCCCGUC